UUAAAUCGUAUGGAUUUUGAACGUUUGCCUACGUUUGCCGCUAGGGGCGCUGUUCCAACUGCGUACUAAGUUA
rnacentral:pre_miRNA from 1 species